AUCAACAAUUUAUAAAAUUUUAUUAAUAUUUAACGAGGCCAAAAUUGGAACGCAAAGACGACAAAUCAGAUAGCACAUAUACAACUACAAUCUGGUGCAAGGCGAGAAAGAAGAGCUUCGGCGGAAAACUGAUUAUCAUUAUGGUGCAUCAGCAAUCGAUUAUGGGUCUAUUUUCGGCACAAUAAUCGGAACUGACAAAUCGAUAUACUCUUGGAAAUGCUCGUAUAAUUCAAUCCAACCCCCGUGGACUGAGAGUGAGAAAUCAUCGGCUGAGCUGGAAUUUCGCUGAACAAAGCAUCCAUUCUCCUCAAUAGGAUAGUAGUACAAUAAAAAUAAUGACAAUAAUCAUAGUACCUUAUAGCGUAUAGAAAAAUCUCUACUAUCUUCUCACUCCACUCAACGUCCCUCGAAACAGAAAAAGUCAUUUAGAAAAUAGAAGAAGCAACGAGCGAGUAACGAGGCUGUCCAUCAGAGGAACCGAAAACCAAAAAGCGAAGCAAAAGACGGAACUUUUUGACCUGACAAGUAUAUAGCUCGGAACGGAAGCUCUCUUUCAAGCGACACCUACCGCCCAUCACAAUGGAUUUAAAGCACUCCAACGUACCGGAAGUGACGGUAGUAGCCGAUGCAUACAUGCCGGGCAGUAAAUCCUCCGAUCUGAUCAAACCUCCCAUCAAUGGAUCUAGCGCAACGUUGGACAAACCGGCCCUAGCACCAGGAGAGUUCAAGGUGUACAAACGGCGAUGGCUGGUGCUGGCAAUAUUCGUAAUGUAUUCCGCCUCGAAUGCACUCCAAUGGAUCCAGUACAGUAUUAUAG